UACGUAGGGUGCGAGCGUUAAUAGGAAUUACUGGGCGUAAAGCGUGCGCAGGCGGCUCUUCAAGUCAGAUGUGAAAGCCCCGGGCUUAACCUGGGAAUGGCGUUUGAAACUGGAGGGCUGGAGUGUGGCAGAGGGAGGUGGAAUUCCACGUGUAGCAGUGAAAUGCGUAGAGAUGUGGAGGAACGCCGAUGGCGAAGGCAGCCUCCUGGGCCAACACUGACGCUCAUGCACGAAAGCGUGGGGAGCAAACAGG
rnacentral:rRNA from 1 species